rnacentral:rRNA from 1 species
CCUGUGAGGGUUGCUGGAGGUAUCAGAAGUGCGAAUGCUGACAUAAGUAACGAUAAAGCGGGUGAAAAGCCCGCUCGCCGGAAGACCAAGGGUUCCUGUCCAACGUUAAUCGGGGCAGGGUGAGGCGACCCCUAAGGCGAGGCCGAAAGGCGUAGUCGAUGGGAAACAGGUUAAUAUUCCUGUACUUGGUGUUACUGCGAAGGGGGGACGGAGAAGGCUAUGUUAGCCGGGCGACGGUUGUCCCGGUUU